rnacentral:rRNA from 1 species
AUGUGCACCUCUAAAUGAGAUGGGGGGCUGGGUUUCCGAGAUCUUGAAGCCUUUAACCAGGCCCUUCUUGCAAAACAAGCUUGGCGGAUCUUGGAGUGUCCAGAGUCUUUGUGUGCCCGGGUCCUCAGGGCACGCUAUUUCAAAGAAGAUUCCAUUAUGACCACUACAUGUCCAUCAACCGCCUCAUACACUUUCAAAAGUAUCUUACAUGACUGA